UCAGCGCCAUACGGCAAUGUGCCGGGUAAAUUAGUACUUGGUUGGCUUUCAUUUGAGUUGGUAUUGUGGCGGUUGAACGUGUGCGCAAGUAAAGUGAUAGGUAGAAGAAGUAAAUUUGUAUGUGAACGCGUUUAUUAUUGUUGUCGAAUUUGCAACGGUAGUGAAGCGAAAAUUUGGUAGUUUUGUUGUUGCUGCAUAAUUUUAUCUACAUAUAUCUUCCAAGUAUAUAAAGAUUGUGAAUUGUGUUAGAAACGAAAGGGCGAACGACUUCUACAGGCUAACGGCGAAGUCAAGCACCUUUUUUUUUCGCGGUGGAGCUGCAUAAAACUCUUUUUCCAAUACCUACAAAUUUUCCGCUGCUGUGCAGGCAACAUAAAAAUUACCUUAUUUGUAAUAAAUAAGGAAGUGAAUUUUUGCAAUAGCUAAAACAAUAGCAACAAAAACAAAGUGGAUCUUGUUCUCAGCUGUGGCGACUUUUAUGGCACAAACACAAAGCCUAACAAAGGUAACUGACUGACUGAUUGCCAGCUCGCUUGGUUGCUUGCCGUGCUGUUUGUUGGCUUGUCAGCCUGCCUGGCCUCGUUGUGGUUGGAGUUUUGUCCAUUUUUGGGUGGGGGCGCCGCAUCUGACGUUUGACGUGCAGCAGCAGCAGCCAAUGCCCCAGCUGCAGAGCAAAAAAAAGUAGCAAUUGUGUUUUAGAGUAGCAAAAAGCCAGCAGGAGCUGUGUAAAUGCAGAACUAGGCAAAAAAGUAUUAAAAAAAUUUGCAACACUGCUCACUGUGCUUAUGUUUGUAUGUACGCCUAGUUUCGGCACACAUUUUUUUCACAGUGCAUUUUGAUGUUUCUAUUUUGGUGUGAUUUACGGCAGUUCGCUCGGCGGAAGUGAAGUAUUCCCCCUAGCCCAAAAAACAAAUAACUACAAAAUUAUUUUAGUGCCACAAAAGGAAAAUUCUUUAACUAAGUUAACAGUGAAAUAGAAAAUUUCGUUGCACGUUUUCGUAGUUUUCGUAGCGGCAGUGAGGGCGCACGCAUUUUAGACAUAUUCAACUUCAGUUUUUGUUGUAGUGCGCUCCACAGCGUUGUUGUGCGCAGAAAAGGGUGUGUACGCGCCGCUGCUGUCUCGAUACUGUAUAUUUAUCGUCAAAAUUACUCGAUAGAAUCACUGAAAUGUGAAAAUAAAAUGUUUGUUUACAAAAGUAGUGCUCUGCGUUUGUGCGUUUAAACAAAUGAGUACAAAAAUUACGAAUUAAAUAAAGUAAACAAAAGUGAAGUGCAAAAAUUUUCGCGCAAUUACAAUUCACCAAUAAAAACUGAGGUGUUAUAAAAGUAGCAAAACAAAAAGUAAUAAAAGAUAUAAAUACAUAAAAUUUAAUUAUUCAGCAAUUGAAUUUCAUAAAUAUUUAUUAGUGAGUGCUUAACCAAAAAUACGAGUAUCAGAAAGACAAACAAAUUUGUUCAAUCAUUGCUUUAAAAAAAAAACCUACGCUUCGAGUCUCAAAUAAAAAUAUUUUCAACAACACAAUAAUACAUACGUACAUAAAUUUGGAAACGAAUUUGGAAAGGACCUUUUUGGAAUAAG